rnacentral:rRNA from 1 species
ACACAUGCAAGUCGAACGGAAAGGCCUCUUCGGAGGUACUCGAGUGGCGAACGGGUGAGUAACACGUGGGCAAUCUGCCCUGCACUUCGGGAUAAGCCUGGGAAACUGGGUCUAAUACCGAAUAGGACCUUUAGACGCAUGUCUUUUGGUGGAAAGCUUUUGCGGUGUGGGAUGGGCCCGCGGCCUAUCAGCUUGUUGGUGGGGUGAUGGCCUACCAAGGCGACGACGGGUAGCCGGCCUGAGAGGGUGUCCGGCCACACUGGGACUGAGAUACGGCCCAGACUCCUACGGGAGGCAGCAGUGGGGAAUAUUGCACAAUGGGCGCAAGCCUGAUGCAGCGACGCCGCGUGGGGGAUGACGGCCUUCGGGUUGUAAACCUCUUUCACCAUCGACGAAGGUUCGGGUUUUCUCGGAUUGACGGUAGGUGGAGAAGAAGCACCGGCCAACUACGUGCCAGCAGCCGCGGUAAUACGUAGGGUGCGAGCGUUGUCCGGAAUUACUGGGCGUAAAGAGCUCGUAGGUGGUUUGUCGCGUUGUUCGUGAAAUCUCACGGCUUAACUGUGAGCGUGCGGGCGAUACGGGCAGACUAGAGUACUGCAGGGGAGACUGGAAUUCCUGGUGUAGCGGUGGAAUGCGCAGAUAUCAGGAGGAACACCGGUGGCGAAGGCGGGUCUCU